ensembl:lncRNA
AGAGCCAAUAGGAUUUGCUGAGAGGUUGAAUGUGCAGUGUAAGAGAAGGAAGAGUUAAUGAUGACAUUAAGGUUUUCGGCCUGAAUAGCAGGAAAGAUGGAGUUACCAGUUACUGAAACGGAAGGAUGGGCUGGGUAAGUAAGGAAUUUGGUGCAAAGCAGGCUGUCUGUGGUUGGAAUGGGAGGUUCUGGCUGCAAAUCAAAGUGGAGAGUUUUCUCAGGUCAGGUCUGCAGCAGAGCUCGAGACAGGGAUCUUAAUGCACUUGGUUUAUUGUGGGGGGUGCUCUCGGAACCUGUGAAAGCCUCUAUCAGUCAUUUAUUGGCUGUGAGAAGUUCUCUGGGAGUGCUGGUACAUUUGAAGGCAAGUGGCUUCAGUUGAGGGCAAGUCUCUGGAAAAGAGGCUGUAGGCAUCUGGCGGCUACCAUGCAUGGUAGUGUGUUGGUGGGUGUGGGGUCCUGGGAACUGGCUCUGUGAAGGGAUCUGGAGGGCACCACAGCGCCCCCUACUGAACCAUCAGCAUGUCAGUGGCCUUUAAAGCCAUGCGGCCGGAGGGGCCACUGAGAUUGUCUCUGAGUAUUACGGAGAAGCAACAGAAAAGAGCCAUGGAUGGAGCCCUUGGGCUCUCUGGGAAAUCGGAAAUCAGCCAAAGAGACUGAGAAGGAGUUACCUUAAGGUCAGAGAAAACCAAGAGAGUGUGGUGUUCUGGAAGCUGAGCUUUCUUUAUUCAGGCUCAUUCCCUUCCCCAAAGAAGCCACUUGCGUAGUUGGGCCCCUCCAGGGUUGAAGGCAAGAGGAGAAAGGCACAGCAUUUGGGAAACAAGACUUUUCCUGCAAUAGCCUGGGAAGGAAUAAAAGGAUAGAGUGUUUGGGUUUUUGUGUAAUGGUGGUUAAUUGGGGUGGAACACUCACACACUGUGCUUUUUCUGGGCUUUCCUUAUCCCUCAGAACACUACCAACCUCGGGGAACUUGGGCGCAUCCUUCUGUUUCUCCUUCAGUUCUAUCCUGCUUCCCUCAUCCCUCUGACACCAUGUCCUCACUCACCUGCACAAGAAUCCCUGCAUCAGGUUCUCUUUUGAGGGUGCCCAACCCAGGACAGUCCCCUACCACUUCUGUCUUGGGCUGAAGUUGCCCAUGUCCCCAGAGUCUGUACUCCCAGCAGGGGUGUUUGACCCGAAGAGUCAGUGUUCUUACUGGUGGAUGCACCAUGUCCACAGCAGCCCCCCAAUCCCAGCGAUGUGUCAGAUCUUAUGUGGCUUCCUGCUGGGGGAGAUGGCCUUUGCCCACGGGAUGCCGGGUUCUCCUUUAUUUCCUCACCCCACCCUCUACUCUACCAGAGAAACUUCCUUUUGAACUCAGUGGGGAAGAGGGUGAUGAGACAGGACUAGAAAGUAGUGGAGGACCCAGCGAGUGGACGCCCUGCUCCGGGAUUCCUGAGUCUGUAGAUAGUGUGCCCAGCAGCUGUGAACUCCCCUUAUAGCCCUGGGCUGCAAUGUCCUUCCCAGCUGUGUGAGACAAUGAAAGCCGACGUCCACAGGGACCCAGGCUGGGUUGGGUGUUGUGACUUACUCCACCUCUGUGCCCUGCAGAGGUCCCGUUAGGUCCUUGUCUUGUGAGCUUGGGGUGAGCUUUCUGUACAUGAUGUUGUUCCACAUAUGGGUUGAGUUGGCAUGGUAGGGGGUCCUCGUUUACUCUCUGAAGUUGGCCUCCUUUCACUGGGGAUUGAAAAGCACCUCCACCCCUACCCUAGCGAUGUCCCCUGAGGACCCUGGUGAUAGUACAGUCAAUAUUGUCAGUACUUUGCUUUGAUUGAAGGCUGUGGAGCUGAGUUACCAAAAUUUCUAUUUCAAAGGAAACCAAACCUUAAAAAAAAAAAAAAAAA